rnacentral:lncRNA from 1 species
GACAUAUACUCACAAAAAAACUUGACAAUAACAAGGGCAUACUACAGGAACUUGCUACAAAAUUUAUAGGACAGUAUCAAGAAAAAAGAUAUGGUUUUCUGUCAAAAGAUAUGUUGUUGCUAGCUCACAAUAUAUACACAGCUGUAGAAACAGUCACUUUUCUGUGCAAAUAUGGUUAUGAAACCUCACCCCAUCUCUGUAUUCUCCUGUCCUGGCACCUUAAUACUUCAUCUUGUCUCAAAAUAUGAAAAACAUUUACAGGAAAAAAGUUUCUUCAAUGCCAUGCAGAGAUGGUUUGCCUCCAAAUCUGCAGACUUCUACAAAGAUGGGGUUAAAUACCUGUUCUACAGAUAUGAAAAGUGUGGCCCUAGGAAGUAGUUAUGUAAAGAAAGAAGAGUUAGAGGACCAAAUUUCUGAUCCCUAGCAUAUCUACAUCAUGAUGAGGAUAAGAACUUUUUGGCCUCCCCCUUUCAUGAGAGAAACUAACAAUAUCAUCAAU